GCACUGCUAGGAGUCCCACAAUAGGACGAAACGGCCGUCCAGUGC
rnacentral:hammerhead_ribozyme from 1 species